rnacentral:rRNA from 2 species
CAUGCAAGUCGAGCGAACUGAUUAGAAGCUUGCUUCUAUGACGUUAGCGGCGGACGGGUGAGUAACACGUGGGCAACCUGCCUGUAAGACUGGGAUAACUUCGGGAAACCGAAGCUAAUACCGGAUAGGAUCUUCUCCUUCAUGGGAGCUGAUUGAAAGAUGGUUUCGGCUAUCACUUACAGAUGGGCCCGCGGUGCAUUAGCUAGUUGGUGAGGUAACGGCUCACCAAGGCAACGAUGCAUAGCCGACCUGAGAGGGUGAUCGGCCACACUGGGACUGAGACACGGCCCAGACUCCUACGGGAGGCAGCAGUAGGGAAUCUUCCGCAAUGGACGAAAGUCUGACGGAGCAACGCCGCGUGAGUGAUGAAGGCUUUCGGGUCGUAAAACUCUGUUGUUAGGGAAGAACAAGUACGAGAGUAACUGCUCGUACCUUGACGGUACCUAACCAGAAAGCCACGGCUAACUACGUGCCAGCAGCCGCGGUAAUACGUAGGUGGCAAGCGUUAUCCGGAAUUAUUGGGCGUAAAGCGCGCGCAGGCGGUUUCUUAAGUCUGAUGUGAAAGCCCACGGCUCAACCGUGGAGGGUCAUUGGAAACUGGGGAACUUGAGUGCAGAAGAGAAAAGCGGAAUUCCACGUGUAGCGGUGAAAUGCGUAGAGAUGUGGAGGAACACCAGUGGCGAAGGCGGCUUUUUGGUCUGUAACUGACGCUGAGGCGCGAAAGCGUGGGGAGCAAACAGGAUUAGAUACCCUGGUAGUCCACGCCGUAAACGAUGAGUGCUAAGUGUUAGAGGGUUUCCGCCCUUUAGUGCUGCAGCUAACGCAUUAAGCACUCCGCCUGGGGAGUACGGUCGCAAGACUGAAACUCAAAGGAAUUGACGGGGGCCCGCACAAGCGGUGGAGCAUGUGGUUUAAUUUCGAAGCAACGCGA